rnacentral:rRNA from 1 species
UCAGGCCUAACACAUGCAAGUCGAACGGUAACAGGUCUUCGGAUGCUGACGAGUGGCGAACGGGUGAGUAAUACAUCGGAACGUGCCCAGUAAUGGGGGAUAGCCUGGCGAAAGCCGGAUUAAUACCGCAUACGCCCUGAGGGGGAAAGUGGGGGACCGCAAGGCCUCACGUUAUUGGAGCGGCCGAUGGCUGAUUAGCUAGUUGGUAGGGUAAAGGCCUACCAAGGCGACGAUCAGUAGCUGGUCUGAGAGGACGAUCAGCCACACUGGGACUGAGACACGGCCCAGACUCCUACGGAGGGCAGCAGUGGGGAAUUUUGGACAAUGGGGGAAACCCUGAUCCAGCAAUGCCGCGUGUGCGAAGAAGGCCUUCGGGUUGUAAAGCACUUUUGUCAGGGAAGAAAUCCUCUGGCUAAUACCCUAGGGG